ensembl:misc_RNA 7SK 7SK RNA
GGAUGUGAGGGCGAUCUGGCUGCGACAUCUGUCUCCCCAUUGAUCGCCAGGGUUGAUUCGGCUGAUCUGGCUGGCUAGGCGGGUCCUUCCUCCCUCACCGCUCCAUGUGCGUCCCUCCCGAAGCUGCGCGCUCGGUCCAAGAGGAUGACUAUCCUCAAUAGAGGAGGACUGGUCUUCGGUCAAGGGUAUACGAGUAGCUGCACUCCCCUGCUAGAACCUCCAAACAAGCUCUCAAGAAUCAAACCCAGGGCCUCAUGCACGCGAAGCAAGCAUUCUACCACUUAGCCACCUUCCCAGCCCUCUAUGAGACUCUUAUCUCUAAUUAAUGG